UUUUCUUUCCUUUCCUUUCCUUUCCUUUCCUUUCCUUUCCUUUCCUUUUCUUUUCUUUUCUUUUCUUUUCUUUUCUUUUCUUUUCUUUUCUUUUCUUUUCUUUUCUUUUCUUUUCUUUUCUUUUCUUUUCUUUUCUUUUNCUUUUCUUUUCUUUUCUUUUCUUUUCUUUUCUUUUCUUUUCUUUUCUUUUCUUUUCUUUUCUUUUCUUUUCUUUUCUUUUCUUUUCUUUUCUUUUUCUUUUUUUC
rnacentral:lncRNA from 1 species